CGCCCUGGCUUGGAAGCAAGGAGGGAGGAUAAGUGCUGAGUGAGCAAAGACAACAGCUACUCUGCUGUCUUUCUCAAACAUCUUCAAGGUCCCUCAGAAGGAUAAAUGGCCAACAGGAGGUGCUUUCCCAGGAGAGACUCAUCUGCUGCUUUACGGGGCUCCGGUGUGCGGCGGCGGGGCGGCAGGGCUCUUUGCACUCGCUGUUCCUUUUUCCUAUGCAUAUACCUCUUUGAGAUGUAACUUUAAAGAGGCAUAGGGCAUGGGAAAAUGGGGCUGCAGAGGUAUUCCACCAGGCAGACAGCCGUUUCAUCAUCUUCUCUGCGUGACAGCUGACCUCAAAGCACACACACACACACACACACACACACACACACACCCAGGCUUUAACUUGCCAUGGACUUGCAGAGGAAGACUGCAAAACGUAGACUCUGACACACUGACCAAAGGUAAUUUUCGUGUCUCUAUGAUUCAUUUUUAUGUAAUAUCAUAAGUCAGAUUUCAUCAUACUCAUUCAUGAUGACAUUGUGAAAGUGUGGAAUGAGGUAAUCUUGUAUUCUUGCUACAUCAUUGUCCAUUGAAAACAUCUGUUUGUCUCUGACUGUUUUUGUUUGCUGUUGUUUUUGAAUAAAGACAUCUUGGCAUUAAA